rnacentral:rRNA from 1 species
UAAUACAGAGGUGGCAAGCGUUGUUCGGAAUUACUGGGCGUAAAGGGCGCGUAGGCGGCCUUCUAAGUCAGACGUGAAAUCCCCCGGCUUAACCUGGGAACUGCGUCUGAUACUGGGAGGCUUGAGUAUGGGAGAGGGAUGUAGAAUUCCAGGUGUAGCGGUGAAAUGCGUAGAUAUCUGGAGGAAUACCGGUGGCGAAGGCGGCAUCCUGGACCAUAACUGACGCUGAGGCGCGAAAGCUAGGGGAGCAAACGGGAUUAGAUACCCCGGUAGUCCUAGCCCUAAACGAUGAAUACUUGGUGUGGCGGGUAUCGAUCCCUGCCGUGCCGAAGCUAACGCAUUAAGUAUUCCGCCUGGGGAGUACGGUCGCAAGGCUG